CGGCCGUAUCACGUUGAAACACCGGCUCUCGCUCGAUCACUGAAGUUAACUCUCAACGAGCCUGACCAGUCCCUUGAUGGGUGACCGCUUGGGAAUACCCGGUGGUGUAAG